CACGUAGGGGGCAAGCGUUGUCCGGAUUUAUGGGGCGUAAAGAGCUCGUAGGCGGUUCGGCAAGUCGGGUGUGAAACCCCCAGGCUCAACCUGGGGACGCCACCCGAUACUGCUGUGACUUGAGUCCGGUAGGGGAGCGUGGAAUUCCUGGUGUAGCGGUGAAAUGCGCAGAUAUCAGGAGGAAUACCGGUGGCGAAAGCGACUCUCUGGACGGCAACUGACGCUGAGGCACGAAAGCGUGGGGAGCAAACAGG
rnacentral:rRNA from 1 species